GACGGGGGGGCAAGUGUUCUUCGGAAUGACUGGGCGUAAAGGGCACGUAGGCGGUGAAUCGGGCUGAAAGUGAAAGUCGCCAAAAAGUGGCGGAAUGCUCUCGAAACCAAUUCAUUUGAGUGAGACUGAGGAGAGUGGAAUUUCGUGUGUAGGGGUGAAAUCCGUAGAUCUACGAAGGAACGCCAAAAGCGAAGGCAGCUCUCUGGGUCCCUACCGACGCUGGGGUGCGAAAGCAUGGGGAGCGAACAGG
rnacentral:rRNA from 1 species